GACGAACGCUGGCGGCGUGCUUAACACAUGCAAGUCGAACGGAAAGGCCCCUUUGGGGGUACUCGAGUGGCGAACGGGUGAGUAACACGUGAGUAACCUGCCCUUGACUUCGGGAUAACUUCAGGAAACUGGGGCUAAUACCGGAUAGGAAUCCUUGCUGCAUGGUGGGGGUUGGAAAGCUUCGGCGGUUUUGGAUGGACUCGCGGCUUAUCAGCUUGUUGGUGGGGUAGUGGGUUACCAAGGCUUUGACGGGUAGCCGGCCUGGGAGGGCGACCGGCCACAUUGGGACUGAGAUACGGCCCAGACUCCUACGGGAGGCAGCGGUGGGGAAUAUUGCACAAUGGGCGGAAGCCUGAUGCAGCAACGCCGCGUGCGGGAUGACGGGCUUCGGGUUGUAAACCGCUUUCAGCAGGGGCGAAGCUUGUGGUGACGGUACCUGCAGAAGAAGCACCGGCUAACUACGUG
rnacentral:rRNA from 1 species